UACGAAGGGGGCUAGCGUUGCUCGGAAUCACUGGGCGUAAAGCGCACGUAGGCGGAUCUUUAAGUCAGAGGUGAAAUCCCAAGGCUCAACCUUGGAACUGCCUUUGAUACUGGGGAUCUCGAGUCCGGAAGAGGUGAGUGGAGCUGCGAGUGUAGAGGUGAAAUUCGUAGAUAUUCGCAAGAACACCAGUGGCGAAGGCGGCUCACUGGUCCGGUACUGACGCUGAGGUGCGAAAGCGUGGGGAGCAAACAGG
rnacentral:rRNA from 1 species